UACAGGGGGUGCUAGCGUUGUUCGGAAUUACUGGGCGUAAAGGGCGCGUAGGCGGCUUAACAAGUCAGGUGUGAAAUCUCGGGGCUUAACUCCGAAAGUGCAUUUGAAACUGUUAGGCUAGAGUGCAGUAGAGGUUGGUGGAAUUCCCAGUGUAGAGGUGGAAAUUCGUAGAUAUUGGGAGGAACACCGGUGGCGAAGGCGGCCAACUGGGCUGCAACUGACGCUGAGGCGCGAAAGCGUGGGGAGUCAAACAGGA
rnacentral:rRNA from 1 species